GGCGUGUACUGCUCUGCUGGGCCUUACCUCUUGGUGAGCCGGCGUGGCCUUAACUGGUUGCGUCGGGGAACCAGGACUUUUACCUUGAGAAAAUUAGAGUGUUCAAAGCAGGCCUAUGCCUGAAUACAUUAGCAUGGAAUAAUAAAAUAGGACGUGCGGUUCUAUUUUGUUGGUUUCUAGAGUCGCCGUAAUGAUUAAUAGGGAUAGUUGGGGGCAUUGGUAUUGAGUCGCUAGAGGUGAAAUUCUUGGAUUGACUCAAGACCGACUACUGCGAAAGCAUUUGCCAAGGAUGUUUUCAUUAAUCAAGGACGAAGGUUAGGGGAUCGAAAACGAUCAGAUACCGUUGUAGUCUUAACAGUAAACUAUGCCGACUAGGGAUCGGGCGACCUCAAAUUUGAUGUGUCGCUCGGCACCUUACGAGAAAUCAAAGUUUUUGGGUUCUGGGGGGAGUAUGGUCGCAAGGCUGAAACUUAAAGGAAUUGACGGAAGGGCACCACCAGGUGUGGAGCCUGCGGCUUAAUUUGACUCAACACGGGGAAACUCACCAGGUCCAGACAUAACUAGGAUUGACAGAUUGAUAGCUCUUUCAUGAUUUUAUGGGUGGUGGUGCAUGGCCGUUCUUAGUUGGUGGAGUGAUUUGUCUGGUUAAUUCCGAUAACGAACGAGACCUUAACCUGGCUAAAUAGCCAGGCCGGCUUCUGCUGGUCGCAGGCUUCUUAGAGGGACUGUCAG
rnacentral:rRNA from 1 species